GAGAGUUAAGAUGAGAUUGAGAGAGAAGAUGGGAGAGAGGAGUAAUAAAAGUGAAAAUAAUUUCAAAUAGAUUUCAGUUUUUAGUUUUUAUUUUCACUUUUGUUACUCCUCUCUCUCAUCCUCUAUUCUCAUAUUCCAUCUCAAUCUCAC
rnacentral:miRNA from 1 species